AUUGAACGCUGGCGGCAGGCCUAACACAUGCAAGUCGAACGAGUGGCGGACGGGUGUGUAAUGUCUGGGAAACUGCCUGUUGGAGGGGGAUAACUACUGGAAACGGUAGCUAAUACCGCAUACCAUCAGAUGUGCCCAGAUGGGAUUAGCUUGUUGGUGGGGUAACGGCUCACCAAGGCGACGAUCCCUAGCUGGUCUGAGAGGAUGACCAGACACACUGGAACUGAGACACGGUCGAGACGCCUACGGGAGGCAGAAGUGGGGAAUAUUGCACAAUGGGCGCAAGCCUGAUGCAGCAAUGCCGAGUGUAUGAAGAAGGACUUCGGGUUGUAAAGUACUUUCAGCGGGGAGGCGUUACCCGCAGAAGAAGCACCGGCUAACUCAGUGCCAGCAGCCGCGGUAAUUC
rnacentral:rRNA from 1 species